rnacentral:rRNA from 1 species
UACGUAGGGUGCGAGCGUUGUCCGGAAUUAUUGGGCGUAAAGGGCUCGUAGGCGGUUUGUCGCGUCGGGAGUGAAAACCCAGGGCUUAACUCUGGGCUUGCUUUCGAUACGGGCAGACUAGAGGUAUGCAGGGGAGAACGGAAUUCCUGGUGUAGCGGUGAAAUGCGCAGAUAUCAGGAGGAACACCGAUGGCGAAGGCAGGUCUCUGGGCAUUAACUGACGCUGAGGAGCGAAAGCAUGGGGAGCGAACAGG